CCCGAGGAGCGAUGCGCAUCUCUGGCACCCUAGCAAUAAGAUUCAGCUUGUCCUGGGGGUGGUGGGUGCGAGUUUCUGCCGCCCGUUCCCUAGGCGGACUGCACGCCUAAGCGCGGGGAGGGAGGCCAGGCCCGCGAGCCCCUACCCAAACUCACGCAGCUCUCUGGCAUGCCCCGCGGGAUCGAGCGUGCCCCUACCGAAAGCUGCGUUUGGAAGGCUAGGCUGGCUGCUUCCCUCCCACCCCCCACCAAAACACAGCGCAACACAAAGACACGAAAUUGGCGGGGGGUGUCUCUUCACAUAACGGCUGAGGGAUGCGAUCCAGGGAAACAGGCUGCGAGGUAACAAGUGUUUCUCCCGCCUGCUCCGGACUAGACACGAUCACACCGACAGCUAGCGAGCGGGGGAUGAGAGAGGCUGUAAAACUUUGCCUUACCUGACGCCCGGGAGCUCACCGCGCCUGGGGACCGCUCGCUCUGUAGUGAGGCGGGAGGAGGCUCACUCUGCCCCUUCAGAGGCUGCGAGGUUGGAAAUUCGUCCCCCACGUCCCCUCCUCCGGGCUAACGAGUCCCUUGCAAAGGAUGGAAAGUUCAGGGCCGGCGGGGAGAGAUCCGUCACCAACUCCAGCUCGGAGCCCUUCCCCGCCACUUCCAGCCCGUUUCCAUUGCCCACCGACGAGAGCGUCUCCGCUGCGCCUACGGAACGUUCAUACGGCUUGAUUCGGCGCAAGCCAACCCGCGGCAGAGCGAUGCCCUCACAGCCCAGCGCACCCUGGAGGAGUCCUGCUGUAGCCCAGCGCCUCGCUGGCUGCUCCGUCCAAGGCCAUGGCGGCCGCGGGCAACUUUAGCUUCUUUCUCCCCCCUUAGGUCCGUUUACACUGCUCCUCUCUGCUAGAGCCGCGGGGCAGAGGAAGGGGGUUCCGCGGGGGCAGCGCCAUCAGGGGCUCCCGGGGAUUCGACCGCACCCCGGCUUUAGAAACAAUAGGAGUAAACUGAGCCCCUCGGCUGCAAACGAGAGAGGGGGUGGGGGGGGGAUGAGUGCAGGCAGCACAGCUGCUGCGGCUGAUCACUUUGCAAGGCGGCAGCGCCUCAUUGCCAGGUAAUGAAUAUUUCAGUGCGCGUUAAACUGCCCUCAGCUGAUGUCAUGGUGGUUGCUGCUUUGGUGACUCUACAAAUCCCCCAGAGAGAAGCCGAGCGGAGCAGAGCGCAGAAACCAGACUCAGGUGCAGCAGCUGAUGCUGUUUGCCAGUGAGUUCCCAGCUUCUCCGAUCCUCCCCUUGCCCGGGGAAGAAGUCUCCGCUCGCGCGCUCUCUCUCUCACUCACUCACGGGGCGGCUGCUGCUGCUUUGUACCUCCCCAGGGAGCAGGAAUAUAGUUAUUUAAAUAACGCUGCUCGAUGUAAAGCGAUCGUCCCUUCCUCGAGCCCCUGCCCUGCCUGCUCUGGGAGUUUGCUGAACGACAAAGGCAGAUGGCAGAGCAAAGCCCUGUGACUAACCCAGGUACCCAAGGGGCAGGUGCGGUUCCCUCCAGAGUAAAGCCAGAGCAUCCCCAUCAAUGCCACGGGGGCUAUUUCGGAUUUAGCAGGCUCUGACCCAAAGCACCCGGCGAUACCUGCAGUUUGUAAAAGGGGCUGGGGGAAAUCAAGAGACGAGCUGCCGCUGCCUUUCUGCUGGGGUUCAAAGCUCACAUUUUUAGCAUGGAGGGGAGCUACAUGUAUGAAAUUCAGUCUUGCCUCGCAUCCACCUCUAUUCUCAGCAGUACUCCGCUUCUCUUUGGUGUGACCCCCACCCCCUCCCGCUAGAACAGUUUAGU